rnacentral:misc_RNA from 1 species
UUUCCGUAGGUGAACCUGCGGAAGGAUCAUUACAGAGUUCAUGCCCGAAAGGGUAGACCUCCCACCCUGGUGUAUUAUUACUUGGUUGCUUUGGCGAGCGCAAGCUGGCCAGAGAAUACAAAAACUCUUUUUAUUAAUGUCGUCUGUGUACUAUAUAAUAGUUAAAACUUUCAACAACGGAUCUCUUGGUUCUGGCCUCGAUGAAGAACGCAGC